GUUUCAGAGGCAACAAGGACAUGAAGUCUCUCCGGUGGGUGACUCCGGAGCUACAGAGCAAAAGCCCACAGACCCCUCCCUGAGCAUCCUUUGUUCCAGGCACAGGAAUGUCUAGAGAUAAGUUUCAUUAACCCCCAGGGCAGAAAACAAACACCAGACCCCUGCCCGCUGGAGGAGGAGGAGGUCCUGGUCUGAUACCGCAGAAACUGGAGGUCCCAUCACCAGAUUUCCUUGAGGCCGAUGCAGCUGUGUCAAAAGGAAAAGAAUGCAGCCCAGAUCCUUAUCAGAAGCACUGUUCCCUGGACUUUUGCUAUAAAACUCCCUACUACCCCUUCCCAAAGGGAGCUCACAGUCUUGAAGUCUUUUAGCCUACUGUGACCUCUUUUGCCCAGCCAAGAAAUAAUGAUUUUAUGCUUCACCCAGAACUCUGUUUGGGAGUCUCAGUUGGGCAAUCAGGGUACAGAGGCUGGAUUUCCUCAACAAGUUUGGCCACCGCGCAGGACCCGCGAGAAACCCAUCCCCCCUACCCCCCAUUCUCCCACCUUCGUCGGGGACGCCCAGGCUUGAUCGGAUCCUCCUCCUAGAGGCCGUCCCCACACCGGCCUCCUUCUGGAGAGCGGAAGGUUGGAAGAUGCCUUGAGAGGCCUGAUCGCUAGGGUCCUGAUUGGUUGGGUUAAGCCCUGGGUCGGACUCUGACCCGCCGUCCCAGCUACUGGAACUUCAAGGCGGGACUAGGGAACGGAGGAGGGACCGCUCCAGCAGCUGCCCAAGCCGCCUUCGUUUCGGGAACUCUCCCUCUUCCCCCCACCUGCACCAGCUUGGACUGCCUGCUGCAAGGGAACUGUUUGGGGAAGGAAAAAAGUAGAGAAAAAGACGUCGCGAAUCCUCGGCCAGAAUUAGGGUAAGUCCUCCGGCGUGCACACGGAGGCCCCUUUGACUCCAUCCGUUUGGGGAAACUCUCAAGCUAGGGAUUCCCCAUAUGGUGGCGCCGUUUGGAUACUGGCCUCGGGCUUAGUGGGACUAGGUUUGAGGUCUUUGUGUUUUGUUGUGAUUUUUUUAAAACCUUUCAUUUGCUGACCGAAAUCUGAAUUGUGUUUCCCGCACUUAGAAGAUCAAAACGGUGGCACCUCUUGAAUUUCACCAGCCAGCCCCUUGGGAAGAAUUUUAGCAGAUUGGUCAAACUAUAGCUAUAGUUCUACGUCUAAGAAAAAGACAGUAUUCUAUUGCAACACUGUGUGGCCAAUGUACGUCCUGGAGAGUGAAGAGAGAUGGCUGACACAGGGUAGCCUGAAUUUUUUCACCAUCUUGCAACUGGGAUUGUUUUGUCAAAGGAAUGGUAAGUGGGGAGAAUUCCCUUAUGUUCAGGCUUUUAUGCAAUUGCCUAACAAACAUGUACGAGCAGGAAAUAAGUUGCUGAUGCAGAGAGCACAAAAGAAGCCUCCACCUCCGGUGUUUGGGGAUUCGCAAACCUCCAAUGAACAGACAGAUAAUGAUGUUACAACUUUGAUGAACCCAUUUAAUCCCAACCCUGGGCAUGCAUCGAUGGCCUUACAGCCGGCACGUCCGCUGCCGCCUCCAAUAGGAGGCAGUAGCCCUCCCGAGCCGCUGUGUCCUCCCUUGCUGACAGGAGAGGCAACAGGGCGGGUAAAGCCCCCUAAAAGCCCCUUCCCCCCGAUUAAUAUCAGGGGACAGGUAUGCUCUCCCCCUCAGAGACCCGCCAGGGCACCCUUUUCAGCCAGGGACCCACUAGUAACGGAACAGGACAAGUUCUUUUGCUCCGGCUUCCGAUCUGCAUGGAUAAACAAGAACAACCCGCUGGAUAUUACUGGCCCUAUAGCCCGCUCUCUGCCUCAGAUUUGAUGAAUUGGAAAAGCCGGAAUCCUUCUUAUAGACAGCCCCCCCCCCAAGACUGAUUUGUUUGGAUUUUUGCCAUAUUUCAUCCUACCUGGGUAGAGAUCCAGUUCUUAAUGAAUAUGGUUUUGGCGGGACGCGAGCGACACCUAGUGGCAGGAAAAAUUGGAGGCGAAGCCUUAGAUCUUUAUUAUGGGACUCUGGUCAGACUCCCAGUGUGGUGAUCCCCGACGCGAACCCGAAUUAGGACCCUAAUACAGACGCUGGCAACGACGUGUUGGCCCAUUACCGGUGCUGUGUCUUGGCAGGUCUAAGAAAAGGGUUCCCAAAACAAAGAAGCCCAAAUAAGGUACAGGAGCUCCGACAAGAGCCAAAUGAGUAUUCUUUUGCUUUUCUGGAACAUAUUUAUCAGGCGUAUAGGAAAUACACUGAUCUAGACCCAGAGGCCCCAGAGAACUUCAGAAUGAUUAAUAUGACUUUCAUCAGCCAGAGUGCCCCAGAUAUUAAAAGAAAACUAAAUAAGAGCCAUGGGGGAGUCACGAUGAACUCAGGACAAUUGGUAGAAACCUCCUUGAAAGUCUAUAGUGCCAGGAAAGAAUGCAAGUCUAGGCCUAUUAAAGUUCUGGAAGCUGCCGCAGACAACCGGGACCCCUUCAAGGGCAAUUCUACUACCAAGUCCAAAGGGAAAAAGAAAGCGUGCCCUAGACUAGAAAGAGACCAAUGUGCCUAUUGCAAAGAAGAAGGGCAUUGGAAUAAAGACUGCCCAAAAUUUCAGACCAGGUCAAAUAAGAAGAGGGACCUGGGUGGGCGGAGCAUAUAGCUCAGUGGUAGAGCACAUGCUUAGCAUACUUGGGUACUGGGGAUUGAACCAGUAAAAAAAAAAAAAAAAAGAUUAAAAUAGCCCUUCUUUUGUAUUCCCCUUGAGAAGAAAUCACAAUUGCUAUUUGCUUUUGAAUGGCAAGGUCCUAUUUUAAGGGUCAUGACCCAGUACUGUUCAUGGAAAUCCAGCUGGUCUUAAUUUACACGUUCCCAAAAGCUGAAGGCAACUUCGUGGGUUUCUGGGAAUGGCAGGCUUUUGUCAUAUCUGGAUUCCUAACUUCUGGCCUCAUGGUCAAACCAUUAUCAUUAUAUGAGGCCCUCAAAGGCACAGACAGCAAACCUCCGGUUUGGCCUGGUGACUGCCAAAAAGCAUUUGAAAGACUUCAAACCAAAUUGACGACAGCGCCUGCCCUAGGUCCACCAGAUUAACAGGAAGAAUUCAAGUAUUAUGUGCAUGAAAGACAAGGACUCACCUUGGGAGCACCUGUCCAGGUGCUCGGAGACAUGCCAAGACCUGUGGCCUAUCUGUUGUUAAGGCCAGCAGUCCUCUGUGCCUGCGGGAUCUACUGGAAACAACAGUGAAGGUGUUCCAGGAAGAAGGUCAUAGGCUGAUAACCUCAAAAGAAUGGACGGUCCCUCCAGAGUUUUCCCCAUGAUGUCAACAAGGUCUUAUCAAGAUGGAAGAAUACAGCCCCCUGCAAAACACCCUGAUUGUUAUCAUCUUUCUGCUCUGUCCAGUUUUUUUUUAAACCGAAUAAUUCUAACCCCAAGAUGGAUUCACAGUCUCUAAGGCACUAGCCUGCUGUGACUCCUGUUUCCCUGGCAAAACA